CUGCGGGUCGCUCCAGUGAGGAAUAUUGCACAAUGGGGGGAACCCUGAUGCAGCAACGCCGCGUGGAGGAUGACGCAUUUCGGUGUGUAAACUCCUUUUAUGUGUCAAGAAAAUGACGGUAGCAUAUGAAUAAGCACCGGCUAACUCCGUGCCAGCAGCCGCGGUAAUACGGAGGGUGCAAGCGUUACUCGGAAUCACUGGGCGUAAAGGACGCGUAGGCGGGUUGGAAAGUCAGGUGUGAAAUCCUACAGCUUAACUGUAGAACUGCACUUGAAACUUCUAAUCUAGAGUAUGGGAGGGGGAGAUGGAAUUAGUGGUGUAGGGGUAAAAUCCGUAGAUAUCACUAGGAAUACCUAAAGCGAAGGCGAUCUCCUGGAACAUUACUGACGCUAAGGCGUGAAAGCGUGGGGAGCAAACAGGAUUAGAUACCCCUGUAGUC
rnacentral:rRNA from 1 species